AGGUUUCUUGUACAUAGUAGAACUGCAGAGCAUGAAGAAAAGAGGAAGCAGAUUUUAGCAACAACAAGUGGAGCACUGAUUCUGUAAAGCAGCUGUCUUGCAGAACAGUGGCAGUACCUUUUGACCAAAUUUGAUGGGGGUCCUCGAUCUCCUUCUAACAGCAGUAGCAUGACCUUGUUGUUGAAGAUAGUGAACCAGCUAGCCGUGUCAGAAUCUGCAUGCCGUAUUUGGUGCUUCUCGUAAUCUUGCACAAAAAAGACACUCCCCGCACUCUUGCACAUCUCAUUGUAGUUUGUUGUAGUUGGCUUGUGUUGAUGGUUUUAUGUUGUUAUAGAAUUACCCCUAAUUGUUUUGAUA